AAAAUCUUAAACCUAUCUGACGUGACUAUUGUAAAGAAUUAGAUGCCUGUUAGGUUUGAUUUUUAACCACCAGAGAACUUUUUUUUUUUAAAUUUUUAAAUUUUUGUGAAGGUUGUGUGGAUGAACUGUGAUCUUUAUUUAUGAAUGUUAUAACUUAUUGGUUAAUGAUCGUUGAAAUAUUACAUGUACACCAUAAUGUGUAUAUCUGGCAAUACCGCCAGUGUCUUCCAUAGAAAUAAUUUAGUUGCCAUAGUUACGGGAGUUCUGGAAUUCUACAUCUCUAGAUACUCCUGUUGACCACAGUGAAUAAACCUUUGUUAU
rnacentral:misc_RNA from 1 species